rnacentral:rRNA from 1 species
AUUGAACGCUGGCGGCAUGCCUUACACAUGCAAGUCGAACGGCAGCACGGGUGCUUGCACCUGGUGGCGAGUGGCGAACGGGUGAGUAAUACAUCGGAACGUACCUUAUCGUGGGGGAUAACGCAGCGAAAGUUGCGCUAAUACCGCAUACGCCCUGAGGGGGAAAGCGGGGGACCGUAAGGCCUCGCGCGAUUAGAGCGGCCGAUGUCUGAUUAGGUUGUUGGUGAGGUAAAAGCUCACCAAGGGGAUGAUCAGUAGCUGGUCUGAGAGGACGAUCAGCCACACGGGGAAUGAGACACGGGCCAGACUCCUACGGGAGGCAGCAGUGGGGAAUUUUGGACAAUGGGGGGAACCCUGAUCCAGCAAUGCCGCGUGAGUGAAGAAGGCCUUCGGGUUGUAAAGCUCUUUUGUCAGGGAAGAAACAGCAGCUCUAACACAGUCUGCGAAUGACGGUACCUGAAGAAUAAGCACCGGCUAACUACGUGCCAGCCGCCGCGGUAA